rnacentral:rRNA from 1 species
UACGUAGGGGGCAAGCGUUGUCCGGAAUCAUUGGGCGUAAAGAGCGUGUAGGCGGCCUGGUAAGUCCGCUGUGAAAGCCCCGGGCUCAACCCGGGAAGUGCACUCGAUACUGCCACGCUAGAGUAUCGGAGAGGUUGGUGGAAUUCUCGGUGUAGAGGUGAAAUUCGUAGAUAUCGAGAGGAACACCGGUGGCGAAGGCGGCCAACUGGACGAAAUACUG